AUGUACCACUCCUACACUAGCGGUUGCUCCGCGCCGCCCGCACCCACCUGGCGACUGCUCGCUACGUUUUUUAGCC
rnacentral:sRNA from 1 species